rnacentral:lncRNA from 1 species
GGGUGCUCCCCAAAGGGGAUUAUUUGUGCAGGCCACCUUUGUGGAAACCUGUCCUUGGUCAUUGAGGAAUUGUAGCUUGGCAUGGCUUUAAAUGUAUAUUUAAAAGCCUCUGCUUCUGCUAGUUCAGCAAGUUGGUUUUUUUUUUGGAUGGAGUGUGUCAAAAUGAAUCAUUCAUGGAUGUCUUGGCAGCUCUUUCUCGAAGUAAGGAGAGAACCAUGCAAAGGAUUCCAGCCAGAGGAUUGGUUUGUGAGGGCCACAUUGACUCACGGGACAGGAGGAUGCUGCAAAGGAUGGGGCAGCAGAGCUUAGCUUUGGGACAGGCCAGCCUAUACAAGCAGCAAAGCAUGAGGCCAUCCAUGGUAUUACAGACUGGGAAAGCUUCCUGCUGCCUCCCUGUAGCAGUUGUUGUGCCUGCAGGAUCAACAGUCCCUGUAGUCAAGUGGAGGUUGCUUCUUUCUGCUGCCUUUCCUUACCGGGGUUUCCCCGUGCCCAAAACUACCUCAGACAACAGAGUCCCAGGCUGUCCUCUUGAGACUUUCAGCUUAAUUUUCCUGAAGGUCUCAUGAUACAGAAGGGGAAAAUUGUGAGACUUCAUUUUAGUUACCUUCAUCUGUCUGCAUCAGCUUAAGGACAGCUGAAUUGUUAGUUACUAUGUGAAUUCAUAGUAAGAGAGGUCCCAUCUUUGUAUUUAUUUGUCAAAACCUGCUCUUCUCCUUGACUUUGUGCAAGGUGGCCGCUGUGCUUUGAAGUGGAGAGAGCAGGGUGGAUGCUGGAGUGGAAAUGGACGAGGCUUCCACCGCCAGGGACAUCUGGAUUGGAAAGGCAGCCAGUUUUGUGUGCUUGAAGGGGUUUGGGGCAAAUGAGCUCUCUGAGACCAAGAUGUGGUUUUGGCUGACAAAAGAGAAGGGCUUCCACUGUUUCCCUCUGGCAUGCAGGUGAAAGAAAGGCACGCUAGCAGAAAGUAGCAGUGUGGAACCAUCCAAAGAAAUUGACUUGGAUUGGAUUACACACCACUUGCUGGUGGUCUUAGUACAAUAUGAGAUGUGCCAUGGUUUCGCUGUACUUUUUAACCAAUAAACAUGACUUUUUAUGAAACACAACGUGAGGAAAAGGAUGGGUGCCUGUGGCUGGCAUCAAAUUUACAUGUGUAAAAUUGUAUUGUGUUAAUAAGGGAGUUUAGGGUUUUCUUCCUUUUGUGAUCAUGAUCUUUGAUUCUGCAGGAAUUUUACAUGCUUAAAAAUACAUCAAACUGAGGCGGAAAUAAAAUGGAGAACAAUAAAAUGGUAGGGUCCUUUUGGAUCAUCCAAUUCUGUUCUCUUUAUUGGCUUUUCUCUAGUGAAGGCAGAUACGGGAGUUCUAAAGUCUUCUCAACACUGCACAUUUCAUAAUUGCCCGUUUAUAACCAAGUUUGGAAUUGAGUCCAUGGCGUUGCUGCUACAUGAAUUAUACUUUCUAAAUUCUAGUGUUCUUUGCUUCUGCUUGCAGGGUCAGCUGCUUCUAAUGCUUGGCCCGAAAUUCAAUAAAAAAUAAAAAUGUCCUUUUG